CGGAGGAAAGAACCCACCAGGGAUUGCCCUAGUAACGGCGAGUGAAGCGGCAUCAGCUCAAAUUUGAAAUCUGGCUCUUUUAGGAAUCCGAGUUGUAAUUUGCAGAGGGCGCUUUGGCAUAGGCAGCGAUUCAAGUUCCUUGGAACAGGACGUCACAGAGGGUGAGAAUCCCGUACGUGGUCGCCAGCUCUUGCCGUGUAAAGCCCCUUCGACGAGUCGAGUUGUUUGGGAAUGCAGCUCUAAAUGGGAGGUAAAUUUCUUCUAAAGCUAAAUAUUGGCCAGAGACCGAUAGCGCACAAGUAGAGUGAUCGAAAGAUGAAAAGUACUUUGGAAAGAGAGUCAAAAAGCACGUGAAAUUGUUGAAAGGGAAGCGCUUGCAGCCAGACUUGCCUGUAGUUGCUCAUCCGGGCUCUUGCCCGGUGCACUCUUCUAUAGGCAGGCCAGCAUCAGUUUGGGCGGUUGGAUAAAGGUCUCUGUCAUGUACCUCUCUUCGGGGAGGCCUUAUAGGGGAGGCGACAUACAACCAGCCUGGACUGAGGUCCGCGCAUUCGUGCUAGGAUGCUGGCGUAAUGGCUGUAAGCGGCCCGUCUUGAAACACGGACCAAGGAGUCUAACAUCUAUGCGAGUGUUUGGGUGUCAAGCCCGAGCGCGUAAUGAAAGUGAACGGAGGUAGGAACCCUUUUGGGUGCACUAUCGACCGAUCCUGAUGUCUUCGGAAGGAUUUGAGUAAGAGCAUGGCUGUUGGGACCCGCAAAGAUGGUGAACUAUGCUUGAAUAGGGUGAAGCCAGAGGAAACUCUGGUGGAGGCUCGCAGCGGUUCUGACGUGCAAAUCGAUCGUCAAAUUUGGGCAUAG
rnacentral:rRNA from 1 species